AGUGAACGCUGGCGGUAGGCCUAACACAUGCAAGUCGAACGGCAGCACAGUAAGAGCUUGCUCUUACGGGUGGCGAGUGGCGGACGGGUGAGGAAUACAUCGGAAUCUACUUUUUCGUGGGGGAUAACGUAGGGAAGCUUACGCUAAUACCGCAUACGACCUACGGGUGAAAGCAGGGGAUCUUCGGACCUUGCGCGAUUGAAUGAGCCGAUGUCGGAUUAGCUAGUUGGCGGGGUAAAGGCCCACCAAGGCGACGAUCCGUAGCUGGUCUGAGAGGAUGAUCGGCCACACUGGAACGUAGACACGGUCCAGGCUCCUACGGGAGGCAGCAGUGGGGAAUAUUGGACAAUGGGCGCAAGCCUGAUCCAGCCAUACCGCGUGGGUGAAGAAGGCCUUCGGGUUGUAAAGCCCUUUUGUUGGGAAAGAAAAGCAGCAGGUUAAUACCCCGCUGUUCUGACGGUACCCAAAGAAUAAGCACCGGCUAACUUCGUG
rnacentral:rRNA from 1 species